UCAAUGUUGUGUAACACCUUGGACGUAUAACACACUACACACAACAUUGAACGGGGGAAGGGGGUUUGCUAUGCUUGUUAUUGAUGUGGGAGUCAAAUUUCGCACAGUCAGUUUCAAGUGCGCCAAUGUUUUUGACCAGGAUUGAGCAAAUUUAUAUAUAACAAUAUAUAAAUUCAAGUUAAUGAGACAACACGUUUGUCACCUUCAAACCUGGUUAUAAUCGCAUAGUAACAGGAUAAGCUUGUCAACAGCCACAAAAAGGCGAUAUCCAAUAGUCCAAAGUUCAAAUGUUUCUCUGGGCAUGUGUAAAACCGAAUGAAAGAUCAACUGACCAAUCAUAUGUCAACAACGAACACGCAGAACAAAGGUCAGUGUGAUAAGGGAGUUCACUUUGACAAAUAUCCCAACAAAGAGCAAUGUCUUGUUACCGAGAAAGAAAAUUUGAAAAUUUGACUUGGUGCGGAGCUGUAAAGAAUUACGGACAUCGAAUGAACUGAGACAAUGUGACAGAAAAGAGUUUAUGAACGCUGGAAUUGACAUAUCAUGGUUAUAUUAAAGAAAAUUUGGUCAGUAACUCAGUAUGAUAAUUCAGUGAGACGCAGUUUAUUCAAAUAGAACUCUACCGGACAAGCGCUUUUACUCUUCUGGUGGACAAAGGAAUACGUUUGCUCAAGUCAAGUUAUUACCAUUAAAUGAAACCGCCGCUGGGGAAAUAUCAUUCCGUGUCUCAUACACAUGCUUCCUAAAGUGAAGCGGUAUUCGGCGCUAAGUAUGCGGUGCCUUGACACGUUGUUUCGUAUUCCACUUCUCAAAUCAACCAAAAUGUAUUAAAUUCGUCUAUUUUAUAACAACAUUCCGGUGUAUUAUUUGUUGAUGAAAAAAUUCCAAUGACAAUUUUAUUACCACCUUGAGGUUAGCCGCAGAUUAGGCUUCAGAUUACGCCUCAGAUUUGGCGUUGGAUUGGGUUUCAAUCAGGCCUUACAUUAAACUGUAUUCAAUCGCUCAAAAGUAGAGUUAUAAAACUUCUUUUUCAGCUAUUUUACAAAAUUAAUUUGACCUGGAUACAUUGUCAAUACUUUACUGUUCAAAACUUAAGAAAGCAAGCUCAUUUGUGAACGAAAUUUAAGACUUUAAACUCUGCGCAUAUGUGUUUAUGUAUAUUUGCGAUAAAUCGACAAGAUGGAUAUCAUGAAAGAUUGGUACGAUAACAUGUAUGCCUACGCUUAUGAAAAUUGUAUUUUGUCUACCAAAUACAUAUUAUUUUACAAUUUCUGCUAAUAUCAUGAAUGCAUGAUUGCAUGGAUGUUAGAUCGCAACGCUGUGGUUAUAAGCACCUGAAUUGCAUUUUCGUCCUGCUAUUUUGAAUUAAAGUAAUGAAUAAGCUAUUUUUCUGAGAGUAAUGUCAUAUAAUUCGAAAAAGUUCCACCAAUCAUAGAUGGAUAUCAUGAAAGAUUGGUAUGAUACCAUGUAUGCCUACGCUCAUGAAAAUUGAAAAUCCUUCAUGUACUAUUAUUUAACUGCAUAAUCUAUUUUGUCUACCAAAUACAUAUCCUUACAAUUUCUGCUAAUAUCAUGAAUGCAUGAUUGGAUAUUCGAUCGCAACACUGUGUUUAUAAGCACCUGAAUGGCAUUUUGGUCCUGCUAUUUUGAAUUAAAGUAAUGAAUAAGCUAUUUUUCUGAGAGUAGUCACAUAAUUCGAGAACGUUCCACCAAUCAUAAUAGAAAUAAAAUAAGUGUAGUUAAAUAAAUGUUGUGCAAAACGUAUUCAUGAAUACAUUAACUUUUAAAAAAAAAAAAUAAAAAUAAACAAAAUGUGCCUUGAUGGUGAGCUUUGUUUGUCGUGUUACCAACCCUCCAAUUAAGAAUUGUAAGAUAGAAGCUUUGUGGGGAAGCUGCUGGUUGUCUUGGCCCCAUCCAGGUUUCCUGUAUAUUCCAGGUUUUUUCUGGCCUCCCUGACUAUCCAGCUAUAGUAUGAGUGAUGGUAACGCCCAAAUAUAUGUCUAACUAUCAUCUGGCAGCAGCUGUCUUGUAUACAAAUACAGCUGUGGUGGGAGUUCGUCUAUGGGGAAUACACAUGCUGUGUAUUUGUGGGGUUGAAGUGUUCCCAAUGGUCAACUUCAGGCCCAUAGACUCAGGUUAUUUAUGUAAAUAUAAUCAGUCGAAUCGUAGGUACUGUCCAAGGGGAUUAUCACCCCUUGGUUCAGGUCUAUGUCAGAGGGGGUCGCUACCCUUCGGGCAGAGCUCCGAGCAUUCAGUCUCUCCUAGCAGGUCUUAUAUAUACGCCUGCGGGAUGAAAACAUAAGGCUUAAUGAGUCUUUGGGUUGACCAGAGUUUGAGAGUAUAAUGUAUAUAAUUGGUUCACUUCACCCUGAACCCAUUCUCCCACAAUGAUUUGGUGUGUGUUUACUUAUUUUCGGGCUGUUUUUUUCACCUAACGUGCUUGAAUUAUUAAAGCAAAUUUAUAUAUAACAAUAUAUAAAUUCAAGUUAAUGAGACAACACGUUUGUCACCUUCAAACCUGGUUAUAAUCUCAUAGUAACAGGAUAAGCUUGUCAACAGCCACAAAAAGGCGAUAUCCAAUAGUCCAAAGUUCAAAUGUUUCCCUGGGCACGUGUAAACCGAAUGAAAGAUCAUCUGACCAAUCAUAUGUCAACAACGAACACGCAGAACAAAGGUCAAUGUGAUAAGGGAGUUCACUUUGACAAAUAUCCCAACAAAGAGCAAUGUCUUGUUACCGAGAAAGAAAAUUUCCACCCACCCACCCGUUCAUGUUCCUGGUAUCUGGUGCAUUGUAUGGGUACUAACUAAUGUUAUGCAAGGACUGUUCAAGAACAAUUUGUCAAGAAAGACUAUCGAACAAUUUUCUCAUGGAAAAUUAUCGCUAUGUAAAUACUUGAAUGUUCAAACAAAUAAAUUUUGGUUCGGGGUUGAAGUGUUCCCAAUGGUCAACUUCAGGCCCAUAGACUCAGGUUAUUUAUGUAAAUAUAAUCAGUCGAAUCGUAGGUACUGUCCAAGGGGAUUAUCACCCCUUGGUUCAGGUCUAUGUCAGAGGGGGUCGCUACCCUUCGG